CAAAAAUUCAAUUCUAUAUGCCUUGUUUCAUCAAUUUUAUCUAAAGAAAAGCAUACCAAUCAUGCUAUGGAAGAAUAAGAAAGUUACUUGGAGGAGAAAUCUUAUCUGUGAGCCACCACAGAAUCUUCCUAGCAUGUUACUGGGCUUCACAAAGAACGGUAAAUGCCAAAUCUGACACAUGUGGGUCAUCUAACUUUCGAUACGGAUAUUUAAUAAGUGAAAUGAGAGAUGCACAGUCAUUAUGACUCCACAGAUGCUUGGUUGGAGGAAGUUACAGAGGUAGAGGUCCAGCAGAGCAAGCCGAUGGGGGAAGAUGAACACAGACAGAGUGUUCCCUGCUCCUAAGGGAGCCCAACCCAUGUGCUAGGACACGAGGUCAUCACAGAAAUGGCAAACGAUGGGAAAGGGAGUACACCUGAUGGAGACAGUGAAAACCGGCACAAUCCCACCGCUUCACAAGGCUCCUGGUCGGCUACAGCAGCUGGCUCAGCCAUGGGGUCUUCCAGACAUGAGUACAGGGAUACAGAUGCUGACUGCUAAUGCCCCACAGGAAAGCUGCAGCAUUGGAGGGCUUCACAUAUCAGAUGGAGGAAAUGACACAGGCAAAUCUGGAACCCUGACCACUGUCACACAGAGCCUAGGUGGCAGCAAGCCUGGGUCACCUUUAGAGAGACCAUGGAGGGAAGUCCCAGGACUCCGGGCAGUUUCCAAGGCCAGCAACUGAUCACAGAUUUCUUCCCAUUGGCUGGAAGUAUAAUAAACACACGUUACAGCCUGACUGACUCCAGAGAGAAUCCUCUAACGGUUCAGGGGAAAGAGGAGAAAAUGCAGCUCUUUGCCCUUUUCCCUCCCUCUUAGCAUGAGUCGAAUGCUAACCUGAAAGCAGCUUUGAAGGUGGACUGGACAUGCUUUCUCUUAGACAAGGCGGCACAGUGACAGCAGGACAUGGACGAAGAGGGGGGAGGGCAGCGCAUGUGUGGUGGCCGUUAUCCCUCCAUCUGAAAUGUCGCUGAGGACGCCGGCCUAAACAGCAAAAGCCACACGCAGUCAUCGUUUUAACAGCACAUGGGUUUCUAGUCACUUAACUUUCAAUCAACACUCACUGAAAACUGGCAUUAUGCUAAGUUCUGUGGAUACAACAGAGGACAAACCAGAGCUCCUGGUCCUUCAGACUUUUCAUUUCAGGGCAGGGGGCAGGUUGGGGAUGGAGGGAGAGAUAACAGACAAGUAAAUAAACAAACAAGAUAAUUUCAAGAACUCAUAAGAGUUAUGAUAAUGAUAAACCAGGGUAAUGUGAUAGAGAGUGACCGGAGGCAGGGUUAGUUUAGGUCAGUGUUGGCCAACACAGUAACCAUGAGUCACAUGUGGCUCUCAUGACUAGUUGAGCUUACCUGCAAGAGAUGUGCUGGAUUUCGAAGACUUAGCGUGAGAAAAAGAAUGUCCAACCUCUCCUUGAUAUUUCUAUACUAAUUGUAUGUUGAAAUGAUAGUAUUUUGGAUAUAUUAGAUUAAAUAAAAAUAUUAUUAUAAUGAA
rnacentral:lncRNA from 1 species